AUGUCGUGUUAUUCAGUUAAAAGUGAUGAUGAAGAAGAAUGCUUUUCUACAAGUGAUGUUGAAAUUAUGGAACCAGAAAUUAAAUCGAUGACGAAAUUGACCGGACAAAAAAGGAAAGAUGUGAAAAAUAGAAAAACGUUAAAAAAAAAAACCAAAAAAAAAUAUUUCUUAUCAAGAAAAAGUUACCCAAUUAAUACAAAAUGAAAAAAUUGCAAAAGAUGUUAUGAAUUCGAUUACAAUCAGACAAAGUGGAGGAGUUGUAACUAUUAA